AAUUUAUUUUUUUUUCGUACCAGUUUUGUAAAUAUGUAAAUAAUUCUAAUUAGUUUUAAGUCUAAAGUGUGAAUUUAGUUUUAAGUUUAACAACAAAAAAAAACAGUUCCUCGGAGUCGAGCAGAGCAUACAGAUGAAGGAACAACAAUUAGGGGCAGUACAGCAGCACACACACCUCAGGAACAGUACGCCAUUAUUCAGCCACAACCAACCAGCAAUUCAGCCCAACCAGCCCCAACAAAUCAGCGAUCAACACAAUGGAACAUAAAACAACCAGAGAACAAACUACACAUAAGAAGCAUUCAAGCAGUGAAACUAAUGAUAACCGAUGACGACUUGGAAACGACUUGGAUUUGAAGUGUGGAGUAGGCCUACUGGGGAUACCACGUAAAAAAAAAACGCGCCCAGAUCUUUACCAAAUGUUGGUGGUGUGGAAAAGAGUUCAUUAAACUGUCCAAAUAUAAACGUAUAGUACGAAUAAAUAAAGAAUGACCAAUUCA
rnacentral:sRNA from 1 species